GGGCACCACCAGGAGUGGAGCCUGCGGCUUAAUUUGACUCAACACGGGGAAACUUACCCGGCCUGGACACUGGAAGGAUUGACAGAUUGAGAGCUCUUUUCUUGAUUCAGUGGGUGGUGGUGCAUGGCCGUUCUUAGUUGGUGGAGCGAUUUGUCUGGUUAAUUCCGAUAACGAACGAGACUCUAGCCUAUUAAAUAGGCUCCCGGCUUUUAAACGCCGGGAGGACUUCUUAGAGGGACAGGUGGCGGUUCAGCCGCACGAAAGAGAGCAAUAACAGGUCUGUGAUGCCCUUUGUUGUCGGGGCCGCACGCGCGCUACACUGAGAGAUCAGCGUGCUUACGUUCUGCUCCGACGGAGUGGGACCCAGUUGACUUCUUCGUGAUGGAUAGAGAUGUAUUAUUCUUCUUGAACGAGGAUUCCCAGUAAUGCGGUCUAAGCUCCGUGAUACGUCCUGGCCUUUGACCACGCGUGCUACUCCAAUUGACCGUUAUGAGGCUCGAUGACAGCAACGUCGGGUCG
rnacentral:rRNA from 1 species